GAUGAACGCUGGCGGCGUGCCUAAUACAUGCAAGUCGAGCGAACAGACGAGGAGCUUGCUCCUCUGACGUUAGCGGCGGACGGGUGAGUAACACGUGGAUAACCUACCUAUAAGACUGGGAUAACUUCGGGAAACCGGAGCUAAUACCGGAUAAUAUAUUGAACCGCAUGGUUCAAUAGUGAAAGACGGUUUUGCUGUCACUUAUAGAUGGAUCCGCGCCGCAUUAGCUAGUUGGUAAGGUAACGGCUUACCAAGGCGACGAUGCGUAGCCGACCUGAGAGGGUGAUCGGCCACACUGGAACUGAGACACGGUCCAGACUCCUACGGGGGGCAGCAGUAGGGAAUCUUCCGCAAUGGGCGAAAGCCUGACGGAGCAACGCCGCGUGAGUGAUGAAGGUCUUCGGAUCGUAAAACUCUGUUAUUGGGGAAGAACAAAUGUGUAAGUAACUAUGCACGUCUUGACGGUACCUAAUCAGAAAGCCACGGCUAACUACGUG
rnacentral:rRNA from 1 species